AGCAGCCGCGGUAAUUCCAGCUCCAAUAGCGUAUAUUAAAGUUGUUGCAGUUAAAAAGCUCGUAGUUGAAUUUCGGGGUUCCACCGUUGGUCGGGCUAUUGUUUGUAUUGGCGUGUGGAAUUUCUACCUUCUGGGGGACUAUCAUGUUAUUAAUUUAGCGUGGUAGGAAACCAGGACCUUUACCUUGAAAAAAUUAGAGUGUUCAAAGCAGGCUUAUGUCUGAAUACAUUAGCAUGGAAUAAUAAAAUAGGACGGUGGUCCUGUUUUGUUGGUUUCUGAAUCACCGUAAUGAUUAAUAGGGAUAGUUGGGGGCAUUAGUAUUCAAUUGUCAGAGGUGAAAUUCUUGGAUUUAG
rnacentral:rRNA from 1 species